AUUGAACGCUGGCGGCAGGUCUAACACAUGCAAGUCGAACGAGUGGCGGACGGGUGAGUAAUGUCUGGGAAACUGCCCGAUGGAGGGGGAUAACUACUGGAAACGGUAGCUAAUACCGCAUACCAUCGGAUGUGCCCAGAUGGGAUUAGCUAGUAGGUGGGGUAACGGCUCACCUAGGCGACGAUCCCUAGCUGGUCUGAGAGGAUGACCGGCCACACUGGAACUGAGACACGGUCCAGACUCCUACGGGAGGAAGCAUUGGGAAAUAUUGCAAAAUGGGCGAAAGCCAGAUGCAGCCAUGCCGCGUGAAUGAAGAAGGCCUUCGGGUUGUAAAGUACUUUCAGCGGGGAGGCGUUACUCGAAGAAGAAGCACCGGCUAACUCCGUGCCAGCAGCCGCGGUAAUAC
rnacentral:rRNA from 1 species